UUACCUUGUUACGACUUCACCCCAAUCAUCUACCCCACCUUCGGCGGCUGGCUCCUUGCGGUUACCUCACCGACUUCGGGUGUUGCAAACUCUCGUGGUGUGACGGGCGGUGUGUACAAGGCCCGGGAACGUAUUCACCGCGGCAUGCUGAUCCGCGAUUACUAGCGAUUCCGACUUCAUGUAGGCGAGUUGCAGCCUACAAUCCGAACUGAGACUGGUUUUCAGAGAUUGGCGUACUCUCGCGAGCUAGCAUCCCGUUGUACCAGCCAUUGUAGCACGUGUGUAGCCCAGGUCAUAAGGGGCAUGAUGAUUUGACGUCAUCCCCGCCUUCCUCCGUCUUGUCGACGGCAGUCUCUCUAGAGUGCCCAACUGAAUGCUGGCAACUAAAGAUAAGGGUUGCGCUCGUUGCGGGACUUAACCCAACAUCUCACGACACGAGCUGACGACAACCAUGCACCACCUGUCACCGCUGCCCCGAAGGAAGCCUGAUCUCUCAGACGCUCAGCGGGAUGUCAAGACCCGGCAAGGUCCUCCGCGUUGCUUCGAAUUAAACUACAUCCUCCACGGCUUGUGCGGGCCCCCGUGAACUCAUCUG
rnacentral:rRNA from 1 species